rnacentral:rRNA from 1 species
GUAGGUGGCAAGCGUUGUCCGGAAUUAUUGGGCGUAAAGCGCGCGCAGGCGGUUCUUUAAGUCUGAUGUGAAAGCCCACGGCUCAACCGUGGAGGGUCAUUGGAAACUGGAGAACUUGAGUACAGAAGAGGAAAGCGGAAUUCCACGUGUAGCGGUGAAAUGCGUAGAGAUGUGGAGGAACACCAGUGGCGAAGGCGGCUUUCUGGUCUGUAACUGACGCUGUGGCGCGAAAGCGUGGGGAGCAAACAGGGAUUAGAUACCCUGGUAGUCCACGCCGUAAACGAUGAGUGCUAAGUGUUAGGGGGUUUCCGCCCCCUUAGUGCUGCAGCUAACGCAUUAAGCACUCCGCCUGGGGAGUACGGCCGCAAGGCUG